AAACUUAUAUUUAUAGAGCAAACUACCCAAUAACCGCUUAUUCACCAAUGUGACAUGGAUAUGUAUGGCAGCUACAUUUACAUGACAAGUAGGUUGACAGUUACAUCUUGUUUACAAUACAACAUUUGAUGAAAAACAAGCAACAUUAUCUUAAAAGUGUUGUCUUUGUUUUUUUUAGCCUUUUUAUUUAAGAAAAGCCUGUGUCGACAGCUUCAUCAGACUUCGAU
rnacentral:lncRNA from 1 species